rnacentral:rRNA from 1 species
GGGAGUGAAAUAGAACCUGAAACCCUGCACUUACAAGCUGUGGAAGCACAUUUCUUGUGUGACCGCGUACUUUUUGUAGAACGGGCCAACGAGUUACGUUAAGUAGCAAGGUUAAGCACUUAAGGUGCGGAGCCGUAGCGAAAGCGAGUUUUAACUGAGCGUUCAGUUACUUGACGUAGACCCGAACCCGGGCGACCUACCCAUGAGCAGGAUGAAGCGAAAGUAAAAUUUCGUGGAGGUCCGAACCCACGGGCGUUGAAAAGCUCGGGGAUGACUUGUGGGUAGCGGUGAAAUUCCAAUCGAGCCCGGAGAUAGCUGGUUCUCCCCGAAAUAGCUUUAGGGCUAGCCUCAAGGUGAGAGAUACGGAGGUAGAGCACUGAAUGUCCUAGGGGGUAUUGCACCUACCGAAGACUAUCAAACUCCGAAU